AUUAAGUGCAGUUGUGGUUUUCUAUGUCCAACGUUUAACAGUCCGUCUUAAUUAAAUUUUUUUUAUGAUUAGUAUUUUUCUUGUUAUUAAAUGAUAAAACAUGAAUAGUGAUUUAUGUGUAUUUAUUUUUUAAUUUUUUUUUAAUAAUUUUAAAUAAAACGAACGGUUAAAGUUGGAUUAAAAAAAACUAUAACUGCACUUGAA
rfam:Oryza sativa Japonica Group DNA, chromosome 4, cultivar: Nipponbare, complete sequence.